rnacentral:snoRNA from 1 species
AUUAUAGAUGAUGAUGAGAUGAUCCAGUUUAUUUUAAAUGCUCUUGACUUUGAUUAUAGCCCCUUUGUAUCAUCGAUGCUUUGUUCGUGUUAGAUCGAUCUCCUUGGGUGAAAUAUACUCUCAGCUUUUGUC